rnacentral:lncRNA from 1 species
GGGACAAUACAUACAGAGCACUAGAUAGCAAGUACUCUUUAACAAAAAAAAGUAUGCAUUAUAUUGUGUGCAUGCAUGAAUAUGUAACAACAAAUAUCAUCAUUAUGUACAACUGUAAUGCACAAUAAAAAAUGUAGAAGAAAUAAAUCAAAGGAAAGCAAAACAAAACAUCAUGGGAUAUAGCAAAAACAAACAAAACAAAUGUGUGAAUUUUAUUGUCCCCAUUUUACAGAUAGAAAAGUGAAGCUCAGAGAUGUUAAGCAACUUGCCCAAAGUCACAUUGAUAGGGAAGGGAGGAGGUAGGAUUAGCACCCAGGACUGUCAGUCCCCUAAGUGGGUAGCCUAGGUAACUGUUCAUCCAGAGCGUCUGAUUGCUGGUUUCUGAGAGCACCUUUUUAGAACAUAGUUUCUUUCACCUGAUAUUUUGGCUUGAACCCUGAGAUCUACGCACUGUCAACAUCAACAUUCUGUGACAACUUUCUGUGCGACAGUGAUGCUGUAUGCUUUGCACCAGACUUAUGGUGUCCUGUGCCUCUAAAAUCUGAACCUUCUUGGAGUAA